CUCAGCCUGCUUCUUUUUCCCCGCUUGUCUGGCUAGGACUCUUACCGAGCCGCACCACCUCUCUUCCACGAUGGUUCCUGGGUUUCUCUCCCGGCCUUCCGUUCUCGAGCCGCAACUCCUGAUCACUUGCUUUAGCUUACUUUAGACGCUAACCAAACAAGAUAGCUUUUUUUCAACGCCAAAUUGCCCAACACUCUAAAAACCGUUCCCUUAUCUCACAAAUCUUAGAUCUCAGAUUUCAGAUAUCAAAUAUCAGAUCGUUUCUUACUUUCCUUGAAGAAAUUGUGUUGUGAUGGCCGAUUUUCGUCUUCAAGGUAUUUGUCAAUCUCAAUUCACAGAGAUUGCUGCUGAAAGAGCUAAAGUAGCUGCGGAAGAAUAUUUCAAGUUGGGAAACAUCGACAGGGCUAUUCAGCAAGGGUUCGCAGCACUCGAUUUGAACCCCAAUUUACGGAUCGUGCAGAAGUACAUUGCCGCCUAUUUGAUUCACAAGUUUGCUUCUAUGUUAAGUCUUUGCCAGAAAAUGAAGGUAGACGAUACCAAAGUUCUGUACUCCAUUCUUUUUAUCGAAGAUUGUUCUGCCGUAGUUGAUGCUGCGACUAUUAGAAAACACUACAAAGAAGUGGUACUAUUGGUCCAUCCGGACAAGAAUGAUUCAGUUGCAGCAGAUGGUGCUUUCAAGAUCGUUCGUCAGGCUUGGGAAACUCUCUUAUCUGAUCACAACAAAAGAAGAAAGACUCUACGAAGAUGAAGUUCUUUGGUUUGGAUUAGAUUCAUUUUGAUAUGUAUUCAAAUUUUUUAUGAAUAAUAUGUAGUUAGUUUUUAUUUUGUUCUGAUUUUGUUACUUUUCUUAGAUUCAAUUUGAUUUGAUUUUUAGUGUCAGUCCAAUUUCAUAAUUAAUCACAAUUAUGAUUAAGCAUUCCAAGUUAAAAUGCUACCAUCAUCAAUCCAUAAUAUAAUAUACAGAGUAAAUUGAAGCAAAUUAUUUGAAGAACAUUCUGAUGUGGAUUUUUUAGGCAAUGAACAUUUUUUUAAGUUUUUAGAAUUUUUUUGGUUAAUUUUGUUAAAAUAAAUUGCUUUGUGUUAUAUAUUUUGUAAGUCUUUUUUGUUAGUUUGAAAUUGAAUUCUGGGUUCAAUAUGUUAUUGUAUUAAGAAACUAUGUGUUUUGCUUGCUUUAGUGUUUGUAUCGGUGCUGCAGUUGUUCACUUUCCAUACAAUCAAAUUAAAAAAAAAAGGGAAAAAAAUCAAAAUUUUCACAAAAGUUACCGUAAUAUAUUUCUUUUUAGGGGUGAUAGUUUGUUGAUUAUUCAUUAUUUCAAUGUCAAUUCUUUUUUUUUUUGGCUCAAGUUAAACAGGCAUUGAAAAACCAAUACUUGCUUGCAAAAGAAGAACCAUAUUGGUUCUAUGUGUCUUUUGAUUCUUCAAUUGUUAUCAAUUGCUUGCUCAUUUGUCCAGAUGUUCCCAAAUGAUGUUUACUUAGGCGAAAUCAUUGAUGCUGUAAAGUCUUUCAGGUUUGUUAUUCGGUUUUUCUCACUCAGAGGUUGAAUCACAAUUUAUCAUAUGUUUAUUUUGGCAUAAGUGUGCAUGUGUAGUGGUAAUAAGGCUGCUAAAGGGAAUAUAAUUUGUCAGUUUUUAUACAUAGCAAACCCUAAGUGUGAUUUCCUGGAAAAGCAGAAGUCCAAGAAUGGACUAUACACUUUCCUCUUUAUCUUUACUCAUAUCUUAGUGUUUUACUUUCCAAAAUGAAAGUUACCUCCAUCUCAACCUUACUGCUAUCUGCCCUAAAGACAACCUUACAUCCCAUUCAUAUCCAUUUAUUCAUCAAUUUAUGGUCGCAUCACAUGAUUUAUCUAUUAGCAACCAAUAUUCUUCUUUCAGACUUUCAGUCAAAGUUCUUAUUGACAGGAAGAGGUUUAACCUGAAACAGCAACCUGCCUGGCCUUCUUUUGGCUCAUUUGAACCUUUAACCUGUUUUCCUGGGCAGUCACCAUUGAUUAUAAGCCUAAAUUACUCUUGUUGUUUCUGUGCUAAAAGUAAUGCUGCUAAUGUCUAGUUCUGGCCAACUUUUGCUGAGCUGUUUGCAAUAAUUGUCGUAUACACAUUUAUGUAAAGGUACAUUUUUUCUUGGGCCUUAAUUCGCAUACCACGUAGUUCUCUCCUGAAUCAUUUUUUUGUCCCAUUUGUAAAUGUUAGGCUAUGAUUUGAAUUGCCUUGUUAAGGAGGCAUUAUCUAUUGAAAUGUUGCUGGCAGCUAUCCUCUAACUUAAGGGUGCAGGAGACACGGUCUUCAUUGGAGUGGUUGUGUUGGUUUAUCUGAAUCUUUACUGCAUAAGUGUCUGGUGAAAUGAAUCAAUAAAAAGAAGCAAAAUCAUUAAGGGGAUUUUUAGUGUGAAUGUGUAACUUAGGGGUGAUAAUGUUUUAUUUUUUCCUGUUUAAAUGAGAUGAUAAUGUUUUAUUUGAAUGUAUAUAGCAUGAAUCAGAAAAGUUGCGAUAAUGAGGGAUAUUGUAUCGUUUGAGGGUGGUGGUUGUCGGUUAUUUUGAUAGACAAAUGGAGGUAAUAUUUGGAUUCGGGUGCAUUAAUGAGAUGACUCUAAAAAUUAUGAGGUUAAUGUAGCAUAAGGUUCACAUAAUUUAUAAUGCCAUAAUCAUAAAUAAGCCCUUCACAUGUGAUAAAAUCCUCACUUAAGCCCUUAUUGUUUUGUUUGCGUCAAUUGAGUCCCCAACCUAUUAUUUUGAUGUCAAAUGAAUCCAAUUUGAAUGGGAAAUGCUGACAUCGCUAAAGGUGUGACUUAUUCCAACAUACAUGAGUUAAUUGGGGACAUUUGAAAUGUCAGCAUUUCCAUCUAAAUUGGAUUCAGUUGACACCAAAUGAUAGGUUGAUGGCUCGAUUGACACAAAUAAAAUAAUAAAGGCUUAAGUGAGAAUUUUACCAUAAUUUGAGAGCUUAUUUUGUUAUUAUGCCAUUUAUAAUUUACGAGAAGCAUUCUUGUCUGAAGUAUGUUUCAUUUUAAUUGUUACUUCUAUGCUUUUCCCUUUUCUCUUUUCCUUAGCUAGCCGCAUUUCAUGUUGAUUUUUUCCGGCCCUCCCAAAAGUCAAUGUCUGUUUGAUGUUUCCAUUCCUGCAUCUAUAUGUGCUUUGGAUCUGGAUUGGUUCCAAGGACCAUGCAUGGAAGUUAGUUCUAUGCUGAUGUUACCAAAUGAAUGCUUAAUAUGUAGUAAAGAAUGAUGUUGAAAAGCAAAAGGAUCUUGUGAAGACGUAACUAGUAUCAAACAUGGUAAACUGAGCAGCACCUGCCGACACAUUGUUAGUUACGUGUUUUGUCAAGGACCUCACCCUCUAAUCAUACCCAUGGAUGAGGCAUAUCCAGGUCACUGUCUGAUUGAUCAAUUGCAGCUGGCUGCUGCUUUUUAGCUUCUCUGUGGGUGCAUGUGUUAACAAGUGUGUGCAUAUUGAUGUUAGUUUUAAAGCUGUCGAUGAUAUGCAUAAUGGAUUACAUUUAGAAAAGAAAACGGAGAGAAGGUUAUUUUUUUUAUCUAAGCAUGUUGGUUUUGAUCAUAGAUCUGGAUGCUGACUUCUGGUUUGAAUUUGUUGAAUGUGGCUUUAGUAGGAAAUGAAUGCUUAUUGCCGUAAAUCCUGAUUUCUUUAAUUGUUCUCAUACUCAUUUUGUCAAAUACAUUUGGUGCUGCAGCCUACUGUGUAGUAGCAGUUGAAUCUGCUGGCAGGCAAGUUCCAAUUGCAUUUCUGGAACGAGUCAAGGAAGACUUCAACGAGACAUAUGGUGGAGGAAAAGCUGCAACUGCUCCCCCGGAUAGCGUGAAUAGAGAAUUUGGGUAUUUAACUGUCUUUAUUUUUCUCGUAGAUUUAUUGUUCACUUCUUCGUGACAUGCUUAGCUCUUUAUACAUAAUAGGUCCAAAUUGAAGGAGCAUAUGCAGUAUUGUGUGGACCAUCCUGAAGAGAUCAGCAAACUUGCCAAAGUGAAGGCUCAAGUUUCUGAAGUCAAGGGUGUUAUGAUAGAAAACAUUGAGAAGGUAAUAGGCUGCUGCUGAUGUUGUAGCUGUUCUAGAGGUAGUUUGAGGGUUAAAACAUGAUAAGAUGCACAUCCAGCUUCUGCAAGUUGCUAGACGCGUUAUAAAAUUGAAAGCACUUCAGAUAUAUUGCAUGUGGUGUGUUGUUUUGUUAGUAACAUUUGGCUUUGGCCAGGUCCUUGAUCGUGGUGAGAAAAUUGAGUUGCUGGUGGAUAAAACGGAGAACCUUCGCUCACAGGUUAGUCAUAUUCAAACUGCAUUUUAUGGGUAACUGAAACAAUGACUUAAUUGUGUUUUGGUGAAGCCAUUGCCUUUCAAAGUUGGUUUUAAAACUUAUUAGGAUUCUGAUCAAUUUCGGUUUUCUAAUUUAAAUACCGUCUUUUAUGGUUUCUUGAUGCCUUGUAUAUUGGCGCACAGUAUGAUGCAUUUAACUUGAUAUACGUAAGAUGCAGAAUAUGAUACAUUUAAUUUGAUAUUGCAUUACAGGCGCAAGACUUUAGGCAGCAGGGAACUAAGAUGAGACGAAAGAUGUGGCUUCAGAAUAUGAAGAUAAAAUUGAUUGUUUUGGGUAUCCUUAUUGCUCGAUUCUUAUCAUUGUGCUGUCAGUCUGCCAUGGCUUUAAAUGUUAAUCUGUCCUGGAUUUCCCGGGUACAGCUCUUGCUGCCCGGGUUGUCUUGAUAGAUUGGUUUGUCUUACAUGUUUUUGAAGGGCAUAUAUUUCUCCCUUUGCUAGCCUUUUAGGAUAGGGGGAGGCUUUGUAUCUUGGUUGGCUGUAUAGGUUAUAGUUUGAACUUGUUGCGGUAGAUAAAAAUUUCUACGGAGGAUUUCUUCUUUAUAUUGUAAUGGGGGAAUACUCGGAUGCCUGCAUAAUGUUAUUAAUCUGUUUUUUUUUUUUCUCUCUCUCUUAUCAUGUAAAUCCUUUUAUAUGCUUUUCUUUAGAGGUAAGUGGACACAGUUGGUUUUGUUAAAUUUUUUAAUGCUUUGGAGCCUAUGGUUGCAUGAGUAGCUCGGUGUCUUUACCGUCCGCAUGGAAGGUCUUUAGCUCUAAUGAUUAGAGAGAUGUGUAUGAUUGAUUUUCCCCCGCUUACUUUGAAGUCUUGUUUUGAGGAUCUAUUCUUUCUCCAUAGAGAAAUUUGGGGAAUAAGUAAAGAAUGUUGAUGAGGGGUUGUUUUGUUAAAAAAAAGAAAAAAGUUUGUUAAAAAAUUAGUUUUACUAUAAAAACAAAUCGAAUUUUAUUUGACAAUUGGUUCCCUUUCGAUUUUACAUUAUUCAAAUAAAAAGAGUUAGAUUAUUUUUGCUUGAAAACGACUCAAUUUGUGUUUCUAAUGAUACAAACUAUUAAGAACAGUGUAAAUCGAGUUUGAGUAAUGGAAACUAAUGUCCAUAGAACAGAUUAUAAUAUAUAAAAAAUUGUAGCAAUGAUGUGAAGUAGAAGCACUACUGUCUUCGCGGUUUUGUACAUAAUAUGCUAAGAUUAGAUGCCACAAUUGAAAAAAUUAAGGCUUAAUACAAAUUUUAACAUUUUUGAAUUUUUUCAAUAUUAAAUAUCUAAAAACCUGAUGCCUGUUGUUGGCUGGAGCAUCCUUGUCCCAUUAUCUCUUUGACCCACCUGUUUACGUGCUUAAAAUAUAUAUAUAUAUAUAUAUAUAUUAUAUAACAAAGUAAUUUUUUGUAAUUGAUAUUUUAUAAAUAAAAAUAAAAGAUUACAGAAGUAGUUAGGUACAAUAAUUAAAUACUUUUAAUUAUAAUUAUUCUCAAUCAUAAUUUCUUAUUGCAAUCAACACCAAUUUGAAUUUUGGUUCAAAUAAGAAAGAUAAGAUGCAUUUUGAGUAGAAAUUUUAAAUUCAAAUCAUAGAGUUCAUAAAGAGAAAAAGAAAAAAUAAAAAUUUCGUAUAAUUUACAGAGAAAAUGACGUGGUUUAUUGUCAAUGGCUUGAAAUGAGUUACAUGACGUCGUUUCCUUCUUAAUGCUUAUUUCUCUCCCCUCACACGGUGUCGUUUUACCAAGCAAUAAAUGCAUCCCGUGAAACCCUGGCCUGUUUCUUUUUCUUCCUUGUCUGGCUAGGACUCUAACCGAGCCGCACCACAUCUCUUCCACGAUGGUUCCUGGGUUUCUCUCUCGACCGUCCUUUUCACUUGCCUUAGCUUGUUUUAGACGCCAACCAAACGAAAUAGCGUCUUUUCAACGCCAAAUUGCCCAACACUAUAAAAACCGUUCCCUUAUCUCACAAAUCUUAGAUCUCAGAUUUCAGAUAUCAAAUCUCGGAUCGUUUCUUACUCUCUUUGAAGAAAUUGUGUUGCGAUGGCUGAUUUUCGUCUUCAAGGUAUUUUUCAAUCUCAAUUCACAGAGAUUGCUGCUGAAAGAGCUAAAGUAGCUGCAGAGGAAUACUUCAAGUCGGGAAACAUCGACAGGGCUAUUCAGCAAGGGUUCGCAGCACUCGAUUUGAACCCCAAUUUACGGAUCGUGCAGAAGUACAUUGCCGCCUAUUUGAUUCACAAGUUUGCUUCUAUGUUAAGUCUUUGCCAGAAAAUGAAGGUAGACGAUACCAAAGUUCUGUACUCCAUUCUUUUUAUCGAAGAUUGUUCUGCCGUAGUUGAUGCUGCGACUAUUAGAAAACACUACAAGGAAGUGGUACUAUUGGUCCAUCCGGACAAGAAUGAUUCAGUUGCAGCAGAUGGUGCUUUCAAGAUCGUUCGUCAGGCUUGGGAAACUCUCUUAUCUGAUCACAACAAAAGAAGAAAGACUCGAUGAAGAUGAAGUUUUUUGGUUUGGAUUAGAUUCAUUUUGAAUGUAUUCAAAUUUUUUUAUGAAUAAUAUGUAGUUACUUUUUAUUUUGUUCUGAUUUUGUUACUUUUUUUAGAUUCAAUUUGAUUUUGAUUUUUAGUGUCAGUCCAAUUUCAUAAUUGAUCACAAUUAUGAUUAAGCAUUCCAAGUUAAAAUGCUACCAUCAUCAAUCCAUAAUAUAAUAUACAGAGUAAAUUGAAGCAAAUUAUUUGAAGAAUAUUCUGAUGUGGGUUUUUUAGGCAAUGAACUUUUUCUUUAAGAUUUUAGAUUUUUUUUUGUUUAAUUUUGUUAAAAUAAAUUGCUUUGUGUUAUAUAUUUUGUAAGUCUUUUUCGUUAGUUUGAAAUUGAAUUCUGGGUUCAAGAGGUUAUUGUAUUAAGAAACUAUGUGUUUUGCUUGCUUCAGUGUUUGUAUCGGUGCUGCAGUUAUUCACUUUCUUUCUGAUUUGAUACAAUCAAACUAAAAAAAUAAAAUUUUCACAAAAGUUACUAUAAUAUAUUUCUUUUUAUGGGUGAUAGUUUGCUGAUUAUUCAUUCUGUCAAUGUCAGUUCUUUUUUGGCUCAAGUUAAACAGGCAUUGAAAAACCAAUACUUGCUUGCAAAGAACCACAUUGAUUCUACGUGUCUUUUGAUUCUUCAAUUGUUAUCAAAUGCUUGCUCAUUUUGUCUAGAUGUUCCCAAAUGAUGUUUACUUGGGCGAUAUCAUUGAUGCUGCAAAGUCUUUCAGGUUUGUUAUUCGGUUUUUCUCACUUAGAGGUUGAAUCACAAUUUAUCAUAUGUUUAUUUUUGCAUAAGUGUGCAUGUGUAGUAGUAUAAGGCUGUUAAAGGGAAUAUAAUUUGUCAGUUUUUAUACAUAGCAAACCCUGAGUGUGAUUUCUUGGAAAAGCAAAAGUCCAAUAAUGGACUAUACACGUUCCUCUUUUAUCAUUACUCAUAUCUUAGCCUAAAUUACUCUUGUUGUUUCUGUGCUAAAAGUAAUGCUGCUAAUAUCUAGUUCUGGCCAACUUUUGCUGAGCUGUUUGCAAUAAUUGUUGUAUACACAUUUAUGUAAAGGUACAUUUUUUCUUGGUCCUUAAUUCAUGUACCAUGUAGUUCUCUCCUGAAUCAUUUUUUUGUCCCAUUUGUAAAUGUUAGGCUAUGAUUUGAAUUGCCUUGUUAAGGAAGCAUUAUCUAUUGAAAUGUUGCUGGCAGCUAUCCUCUAACUUAAGGGUGCAGGAGACACGGUCUUCAUUGGAGUGGUUUGUGGGAAAAGUACAAGACAUGAUUACCUAAAUACUUUGAGACGAUCUAUAGUGAAGAGUACAAAUAAAUCAAGGUGAUAGGUUUAAAGAAGCUGAUCAGUUUUGCACUUCAUUGCCUUUGUCAUAUAAAAGUUUUAAUCUCUAUUCACCCACCAAAAAGGAGGAAUAGGAAAGAAAAUUGCAAAAGUGGAAGCUUUUUUACAUUUGCAUAAUGCCUGAUGCACGCAUACGUUUAAGCACUUAGAGAGAGAUGAGACAAUGGUAGCUCACUUGGUGGGGGAAUUGAUGCAUUCAUAAAGCUGUCUCAAAGUUAGCUGCUAUUAAAAUCUCUAUUCAAUGUUCUAUAUACUUACUAAAAUUUGAAGUCUAUGUUCCAAAUUCUGAGGAAAUCAUUGGUAGAGAUAUCACCUGGAUCGGAUCCUGGUACAAAUACAUCUCAACACCUGUGGAGAAAUGUUAGUUAUGUUUCUGUUAGUAGCUUUUGUACUAGUGUAAUUUUCAUUACAUAAAUCAGUCAUGUAGGGUGCCUAGUGAUUUGAUUAUGAUAAUUGAUUUCCACGGUAAGAUGUACAAGUUUGGGUACUCCAGGACCAGAUCUCCAUUGCAGUGAUGUGCAAAGUUCAAGGAAAACUUUGUCAAGGGUCAUAAAUAUUGUGAAAGGGUUAACUCUAGCAUUUGUUUUUAAUUUACACUAGAUCUUCUGUCUGCUCGUGAGUAACGGGUUUUGCUUGUUUUCAUGACUUUUUCUUUAAAUUUAUCAUCACUAUUCACCAUGAUAUAGAUGAAUGAUAAUUAAAGAUAUAUUAAAAGAUAAUGACAAGAAAAUAUUGAGUUGUUCAGCUUUAAUUAUUUGGCACAGGCAAUGAGUCAAUGAGGGCAAAUGCUAUUGGCAGUUGUGUUGUGCUCAACCAUGGAGGAGGUUGCGCGGUAGACAAGAUGCUCAUGGAGUUUGCUUCACUGUCAAUAAUCCCUAUGAUACUUCUAUUUGUUGUUAUCCUCAUUAAUUCAUUUUUAAUUUUAUUAUUAUUUAUCUUUUUAAAAAUUGAUUUUACUAGAAUUCUGAUCAAUUUUGCUUUUCUAAUUUAAAUACUGUCUUUUAUGGUUUCUUUAUGCCUUGUAUAUUGGUGCACAAUAUGAUGCAUUUAACUUGAUAUACAUAAGAUGCACAAUAUGAUACAUUUAAUUUGAUAUUGCAUUACAGGUACAAGACUUUAGGCAGCAGGGAACUAAGAUGAGAAGAAAGAUGUGGCUUCAGAAUAUGAAGAUAAAAUUGAUUGUUUUGGGUAUCCUUAUUGCCCUGAUUCUUAUCAUUGUGCUGUCAGUCUGCCAUGGCUUCAAAUGUUAAUCUGUCUUGGAUUUCCCUUGUACCGCUCUUGCUGCCUGGGUUGUCUUGAUAGAUUGGUUUGUCUUACUUGUUUUUUUAGGGCAUAUAUUUCUCCCUUUGCUAGCCUUUUAGGAUAGGGGGAGGCUUUGUAUCUUGGUUGGCUGUAUAGGUUAUAGUUUGAACUUGUUACGGUAGAUAAAAAUUUCUAUGGAGGAUUUCUUCUUUAUAUUGUAAUGGGGGAUUACUCGGAUGCCUGCAUAUCAUAUUUGUCCUUUUGAAAUGUUAUUAAUCUGUUUUUUUGUUUUUCUCGCUUAUCAUGCAAAUCCUUUUAUAUGCAUUUCUCUUUUAGAGGUAAGAGGACAAGGUUGGUUCUGUAAAAAUUUUUAAUGCUUAGGAGACUACGGUUGCAUGAGUAGCUCAGUGUCUUCGCCUUCCGCAGGGAAGGUCUUUAGCUCUAAUGAUUAAAGCGAUGUGUAUGAUUGAUUUUCUCCCACUACCUUUGAAGUCUUGUUUUGAGGAUCUAUUCUUUCUACGGAGAGAAAUUUGGGGAAUAAGUAAGGGAUGUUGACGAAUGGUUGUUUUGUCAAAAAAAAAAAAAAAUGGUUUGUUAAAACACUAGUUUGACAACGAAACAAAUUGAAUUUUAUUUGGUAGUCGGUUCGAUUUUUCUUUAUUAAAAUCAAAGGCGUUAGUAUAUUUUUGCUUGAAAACGAUUUAAUUUGAGUUUUUAAUCGUAAAUCGAGUUUGAGUAAUGGAAACUAAUGUCCACAAGAAUAUAUUAUAAUAUAUGAAAAAUUGUAGCUAUGAUGUGAAGCAAAAGUACUAUUGUGCUCAUGAUUUUGUAUAUAAUAUGUUGAGAUUAGGUCCUACUAUUAGAAAAAUUAAAAUUUAAUUCAAAUUUUAACAUCUUGAAAUUCGUUCAAUAUUAAAUACUUAAAAACUUAAUGCCCGCUGUUAACUGAAUCAUCUUUGUAUCAUUAUCCUCUCUAAUCUUUUUUUUUUUGCUUAAAAUAUAUAUAUAUAUUAUAUAACAAAAGAUUUUUAAUAGUUGGUAUUUUAUGAAUGAAAACAAAAGACUACAAAGUAGUCUGUUAUAACAAUUAAAUACCUUUAAUUAUAAUUAUUCUCUAUCAUAGUUUCUUAUUGCAAUUAAUACCAAAUUGAAUUUUGAUUCAAGUAAGAAAGAUAAGAUGCGUUUUGAGUAGAAAUUUUAAAUUCAAAUUAUAGAGUUCAUCACGAGAAAGAGAAACAAUAAAAUUUCGUAUAAUUUACAAAAAAAAUGACGUCGUUUAUUAUUAAUCACUUGAAAUGAAUGGCAUGACGACGUUUCCUUCUUAAUGCUUAUUUCUCUCCUGCUACACGGUGUCGUUUUACCAAGUAAUAAAAGCAUCCCUUGAAACCCUAGCCUCUUUCUUUUUCUCCGCUGGUCUCGGUAAGACUCUAACCGAGCCGCACCACCUCUCUUCCACGAUGGUUCCUGGGUUUCUCUCCCGGCCCUCCUUUCUCGAGCCGCAACUCCUGAUCACUUGCCUUCGCUUGUUUUAGACGCCAAGCAAACAAGAUAGCUUUUUUCCAACGCCAAAUUGCCCAACAAUAUAAAAACCCUCCCUUUACUCACAAAAUCUUAGAUCUCAGAUUUCAGAUAUCAAAUCUCAGAUCGUUUCUUACUCUCUUUGAAGAAAUUGUGUUGCGAUGGCUGAUUUUCGUCUUCAAGGUAUUUGUCAAUCUCAAUUCACAGAGAUUGCUGCUGAAAGAGCUAAAGUAGCUGCAGAGGAAUACUUCAAGUCGGGAAACAUCGACAGGGCUAUUCAGCAAGGGUUCGCAGCACUCGAUUUGAACCCCAAUUUACGGAUCGUGCAGAAGUACAUUGCCGCCUAUUUGAUUCACAAGUUUGCUUCUAUGUUAAGUCUUUGCCAGAAAAUGAAGGUCGACGAUACUAAGGUUCUGUACUCCAUUCUUUUUAUCGAAGAUUGUUCUGCCGUAGUUGAUGCUGCGACUAUUAGAAAACACUACAAAGAAGUGGUACUAUUGGUCCAUCCGGACAAGAAUGAUUCAGUUGCAGCAGAUGGUGCUUUCAAGAUCGUUCGUCAGGCUUGGGAAACUCUCUUAUCUGAUCGCAACAAAAGAAGAAAGACUCGAUGAAGAUGAAGUUUUUUUGGUUUGGAUUACAUUCAUUUUGAUAUGUAUUCAAAUUUUUUAUGACUAAUAUGUAGUUAGUUUUUCUUUUGUUCUGAUUUUGUUACUUUUCUUAGAUUCAAUUUGUGUUGAUUUUUAGUGUCAGUUCAAUUUCAUAAUUAAUCACAGUUAUGAUUAAGCAUUCCAAGUUAAAAUGCUACCAUCAUCAAUCCAUAAUAUAAUAUACAGAGUAAAUUGAAGCAAAUUAUUUGAAGAAUAUUCUGAUGUGGGUUUUUUAGGCAAUGAACUUUUUCUUUAAGAUUUUAGAUUUUUUUUUGUUUAAUUUUGUUAAAAUAAAUUGCUUUGUGUUAUAUAUUUUGUAAGUCUUUUUCGUUAGUUUGAAAUUGAAUUCUGGGUUCAAGAGGUUAUUGUAUUAAGUAACUAUGUGUUUUGCUUGCUUCAGUGUUUGUAUCGGGGUUACAGUUUGUUCACUUUCGUUCUCAUUUGAUACAAUCAAACUAAAAAUAAAAAAGGAAAAAAAUUAAAAUUUUCACAAAAGUUACUAUAAUAUAUUUCUUUUUAGGGGUGAUAGUUUGUUGAUUAUUCAUUAUCUCAAUGUCAAUUCUUUUUUUUUUUUGGCUCAAGUUAAACAGGCAUUGAAAAACCAAUAUUUGCUUGCAAAAGAAGAACCAUAUUGGUUCUACGUGUCUUUUGAUCCUUCAAUUGUUAUCAAAUGCGUGCUCAUGUUGUCCAGAUGUUCCCAAAUGAUGUUUACUUUGGCGAUAUUAUUGGUGCUGCAAAGUCUUUCAGGUUUGUUAUUCAGUUUUUCUCACUCAGAGGUUGAAUCACAAUUUAUCGUAUGUUUAUUUUUGCAUAAGUGUACAUGUGUAGUGGUAUAAGGCUGUUAAAGGGAAUAUAAUUAGUCAGUUUUUAUACAUAGCAAACCCAAAGUGUGAUUUCUUGGAAAGGCAGAAGUCCAAGAAUGGACCAUACACUUUCCUCUUUAUCUUUACUCAUAUCUUAGUGUUUUACUUUCCAAAAUGAAAGUUACCUGCAUCUCAACCUUGCUGCUAUCUGCCCUAAAGACAACCUUACAACCCAUUCAUAUCCAUCUAUUCAUCAAUUUAUGGUCCCAUCACAUGAUAUAUCUAUUAGCAACCGAUAUUCUUCUUUCAGACUUUCCGUAAAAGUUCUUAUUGACAGGAAGAAGUUUCACCUGAAACAGCAACCUGCCUGGCCUUCUUCUGACUCAUUUGAACCUUUAACCUGUUUUCCUGGGCGGUCACCAUUGCUAAUAAGCCUAAAUUACUCUUGUUGUUUCUGUGCUAAAAGUGAUGCUGUUAAUAUCUAGUUCCGGCCAACCUUUGCUGAGCAGUUUGCAACAAUUGUCGUAUACACAUUUAUGUAAAGGUACAUUUUUUCUUGGUCCUUAAUUCAUGUACCAUGUAGUUCUCUCCUGAAUCAUUUUUUUGUCCCAUUUGUAAAUGUUAGGCUAUGAAUUGAAUUGCCUUGUUAAUAAGGAGGCAUUAUCUAUUGAAAUGUUGCUGGCAGCUAUCCUCUAACUUAAGGGUACAGGAGACAAGGUCUUCAUUGGAGUGGUUUGUGUUGGUUUAUCUGAAUCUUUACUACAUAAGUGUCUGGUGAAAUGAAUCCAUAAAAAGAAGCAAAAUCAUUGAGGGGAUUUUUAGUGUGAAUGUGUAACUUAGGGGUGAUAAUGUUUUAUUUUUUCCUGUUUAAAUGAGAUGGUAAUGUUUUAUUGGAUGUAUAUAGCAUGAAUCAGAAAAGUUGUGAUAAUGAGGGACAUUGUAUCUUUUGAGGGUGGUGGUUGUCGGUUGUUUUGAUAGACAAAAUGGAGGUAAUAUUAAGAUUCGGACGCAUUAAUGAGAUAACUCUGAAAAUUAUCAGGUUAAUGUAGCAUAAGGUUCACAUAAUUUAUAAUGCCAUAAUGAUAAAUAAGCCCAUCACCUGUGAUAAAAUCCUCACUUAAGCCCUUACUGCUUUAUUUGCGUCAAUUGAGUCCCCAACCUAUUAUUUUGAUGUCAAAUGAAUCCAAUUUGAAUGGGAAAUGCUGACAUCGCUAAAGGUGUGACUUAUUCCAACAUACAUAAGUUAAUUGGGGACAUUAGAAAUGUCAGCAUUUCCAUCUAAAUUGGAUUCACAUGACACCAAAUAAUAGGUUGAUGGCUCGAUUGACACAAAUAAAAUAAUAAAGGCUUAAGUGAGAAUUUUACCAUAAUUUGAGAGCUUAUUUUUUUAUUAUGCCAUUUAUAAUUUACAAGAAGCAUUCUAGUCUGAAGUAUGUUUCAUUUUAAUUGUUGCUUCUAUGCUUUUCCCUUUUCUCUUUUCCGUAGCUAGCUGCAUUUCAUGUUGAUUUUUCCCUGCCAUCCCAAAAGUCAAUGUCUGUUUGAUGUUUCCAUUCAUGCAUCUAUAUGUGCUUUGGAUCUGGAUUGGUUCCAAUGACCAUGCAUGGAAGUUAGUUCCAUGCUGAUGUUACCAAAUGAAUGCUUAAUAUGUAGAAAGUAAAGAAUGAUGUUGAAAAGCAAAAGGAUCUUAUGAAGACAUAACUAGUAUCAAACAUAGAAAAAUGAACAGCACCUUCUGACACAUUGUUAAUUACGUGUUUUGUCAAGGACCUCACCCUCUAAUCAUACCCAUGGAUGAGACAUAUCCAGGUCACUAUCUGAUUGAUCAAUUGCAGCUGGCUGCUGCCUUUUAGCUUCUCUGUGGGUGCAUGUGUUAACAACUGUGUGCAUAUUGAUGUUAGUUUUAAAGCUGUCGAUGAUAUGCAUAAUGGAUUACAUUUAGAAAAGAAAACGGAGAGAAGGUUAUUUUUUUUAUCUAAGCAUGUUGGUUUUGAUCAUAGAUCUGGAUGCUGACUUCUGGUUUGAAUUUGUUGAAUGUGGCUUUAAUAGGAAAUGAAUGCUUAUUGCCAUAAAUCCUGAUUUCUUUAAUCGUUCUCAUAUACUCAUUUUGUUAAAUACAUUUGGUGCUGCAGCCUACUGUGUAGUAGCAGUUGAAUCUGCUGGCAGGCAAGUUCCAAUUGCAUUUCUGGAACGAGUCAAGGAAGACUUCAACAAGAGAUAUGGUGGAGGAAAGCUGCAACUGCUACCGCAAAUAGCCAGAAUAAAGAAUCUGGGUAUUUAGCUGUCUUUAUCUUUCUUGUAGAUUUAUUGUUUACUUCUUCGUGACAUGCUUAGCUCUUUAUACAUAAUAGGUCCAAAUUGAAGGAGCAUAUGCAGCAUUGUGUGGACCAUCCUGAAGAGAUCAGCNAAAAGUUGUGAUAAUGAGGGACAUUGUAUCUUUUGAGGGUGGUGGUUGUCGGUUGUUUUGAUAGACAAAAUGGAGGUAAUAUUAAGAUUCGGACGCAUUAAUGAGAUAACUCUGAAAAUUAUCAGGUUAAUGUAGCAUAAGGUUCACAUAAUUUAUAAUGCCAUAAUGAUAAAUAAGCCCAUCACCUGUGAUAAAAUCCUCACUUAAGCCCUUACUGCUUUAUUUGCGUCAAUUGAGUCCCCAACCUAUUAUUUUGAUGUCAAAUGAAUCCAAUUUGAAUGGGAAAUGCUGGCAUUGCUAAAGGUGUGACUUAUUCCAACAUACAUGAGUUAAUUGGGGACAUUAGAAAUGUCAGCAUUUCCAUCUAAAUUGGAUUCACAUGACACCAAAUAAUAGGUUGAUGGCUCGAUUGACACAAAUUAAAUAAUAAAGGCUUAAGUGAGAAUUUUACCAUAAUUUGAGAGCUUAUUUUUUUAUUAUGCCAUUUAUAAUUUACAAGAAGCAUUCUAGUCUGAAGUAUGUUUCAUUUUAAUUGUUGCUUCUAUGCUUUUCCCUUUUCUCUUUUCCGUAGCUAGCUGCAUUUCAUGUUGAUUUUUCCCUGCCAUCCCAAAAGUCAAUGUCUGUUUGAUGUUUCCAUUCAUGCAUCUAUAUGUGCUUUGGAUCUGGAUUGGUUCCAAUGACCAUGCAUGGAAGUUAGUUCUAUGCUGAUGUUACCAAAUGAAUGCUUAAUAUGUAGAAAGUAAAGAAUGAUGUUGAAAAGCAAAAGGAUCUUAUGAAGACAUAACUAGUAUCAAACAUGGAAAAAUGAACAGCACCUUCCGACACAUUGUUAAUUACGUGUUUUGUCAAGGACCUCACCCUCUAAUCAUACCCAUGGAUGAGACAUAUCCAGGUCACUAUCUGAUUGAUCAAUUGCAGCUGGCUGCUGCUUUUUAGCUUCUGUGUGGGUGCAUGUGUUAACAAGUGUGUGCAUAUUGAUGUUAGUUUUAAAGCUGUUGAUUAUAUUUAUAAUGGAUUACAUUUAGAGAAGAAAAAAGAGAGAGGUUUUUUUUUUUUUUUUAAACAUGUUGGUUUUGUCAUAGAUCUGGAUGCUGACUUCUGGUUUGAAUUUGUUGAAUGUGGCUUUAAUAGGAAAUGAAUGCUUAUUGCCAUAAAUCCUGAUUUCUUGAAUCGUUCUCAUAUACUCAUUUUGUUAAAUACAUUUGGUGCUGCAGCCUACUGUGUAGUAGCAGUUGAAUCUGCUGGCAGGCAAGUUCCAAUUGCAUUUCUGGAACGAGUCAAGGAAGACUUCAACAAGAGAUAUGGUGGAGGAAAGCUGCAACUGCUACCGCAAAUAGCCAGAAUAAAGAAUCUGGGUAUUUAGCUGUCUUUAUCUUUCUUGUAGAUUUAUUGUUUACUUCUUCGUGACAUGCUUAGCUCUUUAUACAUAAUAGGUCCAAAUUGAAGGAGCAUAUGCAGCAUUGUGUGGACCAUCCUGAAGAGAUCAGCAAACUUGCCAAAGUGAAAGCUCAAGUUUCUGAAGUCAAGGGUUUUAUGAUGGAAAACAUUGAGAAGGUAAUAGGCUGCUGCUGAUUUUGUAGCUGAUCUAGAGGUAGUUUGAGGGUUAAAACAUGAUAAGAAGCAUAUCCAGCUUCUGCAAGUUGCUAGAUGUGUUAUAAAAUUGAAAGUACUUCAGAUAUAUUGCAUGUGGUGUGUUGUUUUGUUAGUAACAUUUGGCUUUGGCCAGGUCCUUGAUUGUGUUGAGAAAAUUGAGUUGCUGGUGGAUAAAACGGAGAACCUUCGCUCACAGGUUAGUCAUAUUCAAACUGCAUUUUAUGGGUAACUGAAACAAGGACUUAAUUGUGUUUUGGUCAAGCCUUUGCCUUUUCAAAGUUGGUUUUAAAUAUUAUUAGGAUUCUGAUCAAUUUUGGUUUUCUAAUUUAAAUACCGUCUUUUAUGGUUUCUUUAUGCCUUGUAUAUUGGUGCACAAUAUGAUGCAUUUAACUUGAUAUACAUAAGAUGCACAAUAUGAUACAUUUAAUUUGAUAUUGCAUUACAGGUGCAAGACUUUAGGCAGCAGGGAACUAAGAUGAGAAGAAAGAUGUGGCUUCGAUUAUGAAGAUAAAAUUGAUUGUUUUGGGGAUCCUUAUUGCCCUGAUUCUUAUCAUUGUGCUGUCAGUCUGCCAUGGCUUCAAAUAUUAAUCUGUCUUGGAUUUCCCUGGUACAGCUCUUGCUGCCCGGGUUGUCUUGAUAGAUUGGUUUGUCUUACUUGUUUUUUUAGGGCAUAUAUUUCUCCCUUUGCUAGCCUUUUAGGAUAGGGGGAGGCUUUGUAUCUUGGUUGGCUGUAUAGGUUAUAGUUUGAACUUGUUGCGGUAGAUAAAAAUUUCGGUGGAGGAUUUCUUCUUUAUAGUGUAAUUGGGGAAUACUCGGAUGCCUGCGUAUCAUAUUUGUCCUUUUGAAAUGUUAUUAAUCUGUUUUUCUGUUUCUUUCGCUUAUCAUGUAAAUCCUUGUAUAUGCAUUUCUUUUUUAGAGGUAAGAGGAGACGGUUGGUUUUGUUAAAUUUUUUAAUGCUUAGGAGCCUAUGGUUGCAUGAGUAGCUCGGUGUCUUUACCUUCCGCAGGGAAGGUCUUUAGCUCUAAUGAUUAGAGCGAUGUGUAUGAUCGAUUUCCCCCCACUCACCUUGAAGUCUUGUUUUGAGGAUCUAAUCUUUCUCCAGAGAGAAAUUUGGGGAACAAGUAAGGGAUGUUGAUGAAGGGUUAUUUUGUUAAAAAACCAAAAUGGUUUGUUAAAAAAUUAGUUUGACUAUGAAACAAAUCGAAUUUUAAUUGGCAGUUGGUUCCCUUUCGAUUUUACAUUAUUCAAAUCAAAGGAGUUAGGAUAUUUUUGCUUAAAAACAAUCCAAUUUGAGUUCUAAUCGUACAAACUCUUUAAAACAGUAUAAAUCGAGUUUUGAGCAAUGAAAAUUAAUGUCCACAUGAACAGAUUAUAAUAUAUGGGAAAUUGUAGCAAUGGUGUGAAGCAGAAGCACUACUGUCUUCACGGGUUUGUACAUCAUAUGUUAAGAUUAGAUGCCACUAAUGGAAAAACUAAGGCUUAACAUAAAUUUUAACAUUUUGGAAUUUUUUCAAUAUUAAAUACCUAAAAGCUUUAUGCCCGUUGUUGGCUGGAUCAUCUUUGUCUCAUUAUCAUCUCUGUCUCAUCUUUUUACGUGCUUAAAAUAUAUAUAGAUAUAUAUUAUAUAACAAAGGAUUUUUUUAAUUGGUAUCUAAGCUAUAUAUGAUUCUUACCUAUCUAUAUACUCCACAUUCAACACCUGUAUCUGGUAUUUUAUCAAGAGUAAAGGGUAUUAUUGAGUUUUUAGUUCUACUUGCCAUUUCUUGCAGAUCCUUUUUCCUUUGUUGAUCCUAUCGACCUUUUCAUGGUCACACUGCCCCGACUCAGGCAUCACAAUCCCAAGUCGGUCCUAAUCAAAGAUGCUACUUCCAAGUUCUUCAGCACGGUCAUCAUCCUCUCCGAGAUCAACACGGAUAUGUGAUUUUGGACAUGCUCAAUCACAGAGCUUAACCCUUCUUAUUUGUGCAGCAGCCAACUCAUGGGUAAAUUGGUGAUUGCCUUGGGAUUUGCCAGUGUCUUUCUAAGCUUCUGUCCGUCUUUCUAGGCAUUCAUCCGGUGCAUGGAAGAAAGGUUUCGUCUGUGCAUGGAAUCGGGCCUUUGUCAGCGAAUGGAUUUACGGUCGAAACACCUUGACUCAAUGCAAUGGAGAGUUUCGAUGGCUGCAGUGGAGUUGAAUUAUCCGGUGGACUUUUCUAAGAUUAUGGAAUUCGAAAGGUUUGGAAGACGGGCUAAGGUUACAAGUCAGUCUUCUCAAUCUCAUCAACAUCUUGCUAUGAUGAUCAUUGAUGGUUUUCUGCAGUUUGAAUUGUUACUUUUCUUUCCCGAUAUAUAUUCAAUAUGCAAAAAUGAUUCUCUUUCAUUUCAUAAGUUUAUGUUCCCAUAUAAUUAAACAUAGGUGGGCUCGAGUCACAGCCCACAUAAGUGUAUGAAAAGACAAAUUUUGGAACGUUAUGGCUAUAUUUAAGCUCAGAGCAGUAAAAUUUUUUUUUAUUUUUUCAGAUAAUAUAAAGAAUGGAUUGAAAGAAACAGUUGAAAAUGAUUUGAGUAGUAAUUUUUCUUUGCUUCAGGUAGGUUUACCAAAUGAUUUAUUUCAAUAGAUAUGGGUUCCUCUGUUUUGAACGUUUUUGUUCUCUAAAAAGAUGAUUAGAAUGUACAAAAUACUUUGUGAAUGUAACAACUACUUACAUCAUUUUUAGUCUCAAAAUUCCAUAUUGGGUUACUUUUUUGAAUUGAGAAGUUCUGCAUCAAUGGAAAAGCUUAUCUUAAAUAAAAAUGGAUGAAUCAUUAGCAGAGGAAACUCAGUUGAGGACUAAAAGUGACCUUGGCAAAAGAAGCUCUGGUUCUUUUUUAAUAAGUACACAUUGUUACAUAUUUUUCUAUUGCUUCAUAUUAGAAGGAAUCUUUUAGAUAUUGGAUUGUCAUUAUACAAAAAUAAAAAGGGCAAUGGCAUGUUCUUGAUACCUUCUGUAUGAAGUGUGUACUAUUGUUUUUGUGUCAACAAUGCUGUGAAUAUAUAAUUAUUUUUUCAAGGGUAGCAUCAAACUCAAAUUUGAUGUCAUCAUAAAAAUUUCAAAAGUCAAAGGCUUUCCAGAACUUCUUCAAAAUAACGUAUACUCAGAUUUAACAAUGACUACUUACUUAAUUUGGCAACAACCAAAGACUAAAAAUUAGACUAAUUGUUGAUUAAUUACUAUGUAGUUGCUGCAAAAGACCUUUUCUGACAGUACUUAUUGCAUCAAUACUUGCAUAAUUUUGUAGUAUUAAUCAAUCUCUAUCUCUUACCUCAGUUCUGUAAAUACAGAAUAUUUUUUAAAAUGUUUGUUAAAUACAAGCAAAGAAUGCGCAUUUAAAAUAUAAAGUGCUCUAUAACAGAACAGAGCUUAGAUAUAUAGCCCAUUCAUAGCGAAUCAUGGCAGAAAACACUUUUUAUGGGUAUCCAAAACUUUGCAAAGAACACAAUUUUAAUGGAUUGGUUUUUUUUCGUUGGUCAUCCGUAUUGGGUUAACUCUAGAAAUUUCUUCUUAUAUAUUUUGACAAGCAUUGGCUCAAAAGUUUUGCAGAUUCAUGAUUUAUGUCCAUACCAAAGGGAUGAUAAUUGAUGAUAAGUAUGUUAUCAUGAGAUCAGUAAACAUUAACUAAAGAUCCUUAAAUGGUUCUAGGGACACAAAAGUAGCUAUUAGGUGCUUACCAACCAAAUUAUCCAUGGGCAGGAAACAAAUCCCGCUCGCAUUGCUAGGUUUGGGAUUCUGUCUGUACUCAUUUUUAAAUGCUCAAAAAAGUGCUAGACAGUCAUUUAUGCAUACUACUUCUGUUUUUUUGGUUUAAUUGUUUUAGCAUAUGCUUCAAAGGAAACAAAAUGGCAUUAGAGCAUGGAGAAUAGUAUCUCUGGGGUUAAAAAUAUAUUUAAUGUUUGCUUAAAUUCCUAUUUAGAUUUAUUAGUUGCACCAGUAUUGUUGGAUGUAGGUUUAUGGUUAUCGGAUGUUCCUGCGGGCUGAACACCUUGGCAAACUGGAGGAUAGUUUUCAAGAACCAUAAAGCCUAGAAUGUGUUUUUAAUUGUUCUAAAUUAUGUUUUAUUUUAUCAGUACUUGAAGUUUAUGGCUAGAUGGGAGCAGAAAAAGUCUGUCGGUGGUAAGUUUUUUUUGGUUUGCUCAAGUUUGUUAGGAUCCAUUGUUAAUGCAUACAUAAAAGUAUGGCCAUUUCUAAUCUUGCAAAUGAUGUGUUGUUCAUAUUCUAGGAGGAAAAAAGAAGGAAGUGAAGGAGACUGGUUUAGGUCUCUCUUUUACUAAGGAUGAAAAUUUCAAAGAAUGGUACUUUGAGGUAUAUUUUGUUGCAAUGGUACAAUUGCUUUGUGAUUGUUGUACUACUUUAUCGAGAUCUUAGUAUUUUAUGAUUAUAUCAUACAUUUUGGCUUUUGUAAGUUGCUGUCAACGAUGAAAUGAUUGAGUACAAUGACAUUUCUAGCUAUUAUAUUCUGAGGCCAUGGGCAAUUUCAAGUGGGAGAUUAAGUCAUAUAAUAUUUAUACUCAUUGCAGUUUAAGUACUAAAUAGCAAGUGUUAAUUAAUUACAAGGAAAAAAAUGGUCAUGGAUGUCAUUCCUUAUUAUUUUUUUUCUUUCCCUUCCCUUUAACUUAUCUAUGAUGUUAAAUUGCACACAUUCUUUGAUGUGGAAAUCAAGAACUACCUCUCUUUGUAUCUCCAAGUGUUUUGCAAAAAGAGAAAGAUCACAUUGAGGGUUUUGCUCCAGAGAUGAGAACUAAGGUUUUGGGCACAAUUGGCCUUGUGGAAUGUGCUUCAGCUUGGAAUUGUUAAUUUAUAUUUUUACGAAAUUUCUUGAAGCCAUUUGAAUCUCAUUUUGUCCCUAAAGAAGCAAGAUUAUUCACCAAGAAGCAGUAAACUUUUAAUUCAUAUCAUUCUUUGGUCUCAGAGAUUUGUCACUAAGAAAGAUCUGCCUUGAUGUGUCAAUAAAGUUGGUAACAAAAUUUUCACUAAUUUUCCAAUAAGCAUUCAUCUUUUUUAUUCUUGCCUUUUAAACAAUAUAUAAAUUAACACAAUUUGUUUAACUAUUUAUACAUUACUGUAUAUUAUUUUUAUCAUAACAAAGUCUGUUUAACUAUUUAUCCAUUACUGCGUAUUAUUUUUACCAUAACAUAAUCAAUCUUUUUACAUUCGCAUCAUAACAAAUACAUCAUUUUAUUUAUUUUUCUUUAACUAAUUUAUAACAAUAAUAAUCUUAAAAAUUAUUAAAAUUAAUAAACAAUUCUUGAUUCUACUAAUUUAAAUUUUUUAUACAAAACUUUUAACAUCAAUUGUUCAUAAAAUUUACAAACUUGUCGCGUAGAGUCGGUAUUUUUUUAGUUUUAUAAAUUAAAAUAAAAAAUUACAAAAGUAGUAUGUUAUAACGAUUAAAUACCUUUAAUUAUAAUUAUUCUCAAUCAUAAUUUCUUAUUGCAAUGAAUACCAAAUUGAAUUUUGGUUCAAGAAAGAUAAGAUGCAUUUUGAGUAGAAAUUUUAAAUUCAAAUCAUAGAGUUCAUCACGUGAAAAAGAAAAAAAAAAUUUUUUGAAUAAUUUUGAGAGAAAAUGACGUCGUUUAUUGUUAGUCACUUGAAAUGAGUGAAAUGACGUCGUUCCUUCUUAAUGCUUAUUUCCCUCCUGCCACACGGUGUCGUUUUACUAAGUGAUAAAAUCAUCCCUUGAAACCCUGGCCUGUUUCUUUUUCUUCCUCGUCUGGCUAGGACUCUAACCGAGCCGCACCACCUCUCUUCCACGAUGGUUCCUGGGUUUCUCUCCCGGCCUUCCUUUUCACUUGCCUUAGCUUGUUUUAGACGCCAACCAAACGAAAUAGCGUCUUUUCAACGCCAAAUUGCCCAACACUAUAAAAACCGUUCCCUUUACUCACAAAAUCUUAGAUCUCAGAUUUCAGAUAUCAAAUCUCAGAUCGUUUCUUACUCUCUUUGAAGAAAUUGUGUUGCGAUGGCUGAUUUUCGUCUCCAAGGUCUUUGUCAAUCUCAAUUCACAGAGAUUGCUGCUGAAAGAGCUAAAGUAGCUGCAGAGGAAUAUUUCAAGUCGGGAAACAUCGACAGAGCUAUUCAGCAAGGGUUCGCAGCACUCGAUUUGAACCCCAAUUUACGGAUCGUGCAGAAGUACAUUGCCGCCUAUUUGAUUCACAAGUUUGCUUCUAUGUUAAGUCUUUGCCAGAAAAUGAAGGUAGACGAUACCAAAGUUCUGUACUCCAUUCUUUUUAUCGAAGAUUGUUCUGCCGUAGUUGAUGCUGCGACUAUUAGAAAACACUACAAAGAAGUGGUACUAUUGGUCCAUCCGGACAAGAAUGAUUCAGUUGCAGCAGAUGGUGCUUUCAAGAUCGUUCGUCAGGCUUGGGAAACUCUCUUAUCUGAUCACAACAAAAGAAGAAAGACUCGAUGAGGAUGAAGUUUUUUGGUUUGGAUUAGAUUCAUUUUGAUAUGUAUUCAAAUUUUUUAUGAAUAAUAUGUAGUUAUUUUUUAUUUUGUUCUGAUUUGGUUACUUUUUUGAGAUUCAAUUUGAUUUUGAUUUUUAGUGUCAGUCCAAUUUCAUAAUUGAUCACAAUUAUGAUUAAGCAUUCCAAGUUAAAAUGCUACCAUCAUCAAUCCAUAAUAUAAUAUACAGAGUAAAUUGAAGCAAAUUAUUUGAAGAAUAUUCUGAUGUGGGUUUUUUAGGCAAUGAACGUUUUCUUUAAGCUUUCAGAUUUUAUUUUGUUAAAAUAAAUUUCUUUGUGUUAUAUAUUUUGUAAGUCUUUUUCGUUAGCUUGAAAUUGAAUUCUGGGUUCAAGAGGUUAUUGUAUUAAGUAACUAUGUGUUUUGCUUGCUUCAGUGUUUGUAUCG
rnacentral:lncRNA from 1 species